UGUUAAAAAAAUCAUCAUUUUCUACUGUCAAGAACUGAUGUGGUUGAUAGAAUAACCAGACUACUACACGUGAUGUGUCAUGUGUACCUCAUUCUAACAUACAGGGAACAGUUUUUAACAGAAGAAAUGAAUAGUUUUUUUAACA
rfam:Gossypium arboreum cultivar AKA8401 contig_7450_5, whole genome shotgun sequence.